AAAGGUCACCAAAAAAUUCUCUUUCUUAUUUCUUGUAUGAAUAUAUUUAUAUUAUAUCUUUAUACCCUCUUUCAUUCUUUCUGGUAAACAUAUUUGCAGGAUAACCCUUUUUUGCAAUCACUUUUGCGUUUUGCGGAACAAAGCUCUUUUGUAAGGAAAUCAAUUCUCUUUUGAAGCUUGCUUUUGACUUUUUGUCUUGCAACUACAUGUUCCAACAGCAUAUACAUCCAUCAAACAAAGGGAUUUAGUCUGUCAAUUCAUCCUCUAUGAAAUUCCAAUACAUCUUUCUUACUGUUCCAGUUCAUGGAAAAUAUGCUGCUGGAUUCCUUAAAUUCUGUUGUAAUGACACUUUAUGUUGGCUCAAGAGACAACUUGAGGAUUCUUGUGAGCCUGCACAAGUGCUAUUGGCAUGUUGGCAUGAACUUCGCAGCUACCACAAUUAUAUGGUUGCACAAUUAUGAAUCCAAGCACAAGUUUUUGAAGUAAAGUUUCUCAAGAUGGGAAAGGGUAUUUUGCAUAUGACCAUAAUAGUUUCUCUUCUUUUCUCUUUGCAAUUGGAUGAAGAUCCAGUUUCUUAUGAGGAUUUUGCUAGAAUUCAAGAUUUUUUAGUGCAACCACAAUCAUUUUCCCCAACGCUGGAUGGAUCAGCAUGUGAAACUAUCAAAUAGUGGACUACUGGUUUAUCGGGAUAUUGUACAAGUUUCUCCUCUCAUUUCCACACCAGAUCGUACCCGCUUACACCAAGAACAUCAAAAAUUUCACAAACUUUUCUCUUUCUAGCAAGCUUGGCAAUGUAAUAAUAUAACUUUGUUCCGUAUAAUAUGAAGCAUAUUAUGUUAUAGGUAGUAUAUAUUACCAAUAAGAAAAUGCCUUGCAAAGGUCAAAUCACUUUUAUAUUACCAGUUUUCACCCGUGCCUUGCACGGGCUCGGGCCAACUAGUAAGUUAAUAAAUAUGCUCCCUUAUGUUUGA